rnacentral:rRNA from 1 species
CGUGUAGGCGGCCUUCUCAGUCUGGUGUGAAAGCCCGGGGCUCACCCCCGGAAGUGCAUUGGAUACUGGAAGGCUGGAGUACCGGAGAGGAGGGUGGAAUUCCUGGUGUAGCGGUGAAAUGCGUAGAUAUCAGGAGGAACACCGGUGGCGAAGGCGGCCCUCUGGACGGAUACUGACGCUGAGACGCGACAGCGUGGGGAGCAAACAGGAUUAGAUACCCUGGUAGUCCACGCCGUAAACGAUGGGUACUAGGUGUUCGGGGUAUUGACCCCCUGAGUGCCGCAGCUAACGCAUUAAGUACCCCGCCUGGGACUACGGCCGCAAGGCUAA